UCCGGUUUGUCACCGGCAGUCUCAUUAGAGUGCCCAACUAAAUGUAGCAACUAAUGACAAGGGUUGCGCUCGUUGCGGGACUUAACCCAACAUCUCACGGCACGAGCUGACGACAGCCAUGCAGCACCCGAGCAGGGUGGUAUUGCUACCUCGUUGGGCUUUCACCCUUCUACUACCUGCAUGUCCAGCCUGGGUAAGGUUCUUCGCGUUGCGUCGAAUUAAACCACACGCUCCGCUGCUUGUGCGGGCCCCCGUCAAUUCCUUUGAGUUUCAAUCUUGCGAUCGUACUUCCCAGGUGGGAUACUUAAUGCUUUCGCUCAGACACCAACUGUGUAUCGCUGAUGUCGAGUAUCCAUCGUUUAGG
rnacentral:misc_RNA from 1 species